UACGAAGGGGGCUAGCGUUGCUCGGAAUCACUGGGCGUAAAGGGUGCGUAGGCGGGUCUUUAAGUCAGGGGUGAAAUCCUGGAGCUCAACUCCAGAACUGCCUUUGAUACUGAAGAUCUUGAGUUCGGGAGAGGUGAGUGGAACUGCGAGUGUAGAGGUGAAAUUCGUAGAUAUUCGCAAGAACACCAGUGGCGAAGGCGGCUCACUGGCCCGAUACUGACGCUGAGGCACGAAAGCGUGGGUCGCGAAUGGG
rnacentral:rRNA from 1 species